rnacentral:misc_RNA from 1 species
AAGUCGUAACAAGGUUUCCGUAGGUGAACCUGCGGAAGGAUCAUUAACACGAACUUUAUCCAAUACCAAACCAAACGUGAACUUUUCCCCUCCCUAUUCAAACAAGGACUAAUUUUUAGUUCUUUUUGUAUAGGCUAACACCUUUUUUACUUUUAUAUAGUAAAAUAUUCUAUUUUAUUAUAUAUAUAGUUUAUAACCCCUAAAACUUAAACUAUAGUUGGUUCAAGUGGAGUACUCUGUAUUCCCUUGCUUUUCAACUACUAACACUAAAAAUGUCAUCUAUCAAUUUUAUUGAUGAUGCUUUUUUUCGAUAUUACGAAAAUUAAGAACAACUCUUAACAAUGGAUAUCUUGGUUCUC